rnacentral:SRP_RNA from 1 species
CCGUGCUAGAUGGGGAGGUAGCGGUGCCCUGUACCCGCAACCCGCUAUAGCGGGGUUGAACUCCUGCCUAAGGGUUUGGCUUGUGGGGUCCGGCUUGUUACAAGGGGCGACGACGGUUGGGUCUUGCGCGGCGGAGACUUUUGAACCGUGUCAGGUCCUGGCGGAAGCAGCACUAAGAAAGAACCUCCGGGUGCCGCAAGGACGCCUGGCCCGAGCUACCUGUGCAGGUAUCGCCCGGAAGUCAUUAUUCGAAGGCGGGUGCACGG